UGCAAGUCGAACGAAGUAGCAAUACUUAGUGGCAGACGGGUGAGUAACAUGUAGGUAUCUGCCCUUUGGCCUGGAAUAACACGAGGAAACUUGUGCUAAUACCGGAUAAGUCUUUACGGAGAAAGCUUUAUGCACCAUUGGAUGAGCCUGCACUUGAUUAGUUUGUUGGUGGGGUAAUGGCCAACCAAGACUGUGAUCAAUAGCUGAUUUGAGAGGAUGAUCAGCCACAUUGGGACUGAGACACGGCCCAAACUCCUACGGGAGGCAGCAGUGGGGAAUCUUGCACAAUGGAGGAAACUCUGAUGCAGCGAUGCCGCGUGAGUGAAGAAGGCCCUUGGGUUGUAAAGCUCUUUCGUCGGGGAAGAAAAUGACUGUACCCGAAUAAGAAGGUCCGGCUAACUUCGUGCCAGCAGCCGCGGUAAUACGAAGGGACCUAGCGUAGUUCGGAAUUACUGGGCUUAAAGAGUUCGUAGGUGGUUGAAAAAGUUAGUGGUGAAAUCCCAGAGCUUAACUCUGGAACUGCCAUUAAAACUUUUCAGCUAGAGUAUGAUAGAGGAAAGCAGAAUUU
rnacentral:rRNA from 1 species